rnacentral:lncRNA from 1 species
AUACAUAUCACUUUAGCAAAUUCAAGCAAAAAUCCCCACAAACAAACACUGAUUUCAGCAGACUAAAGUGGAUCUAAAUCAUGUUUAAUUCGACUGAACUUUCUACUGAAAUAAUCCCAACAGUCCAUACAUACAAACAGGACUUCAACUUAUUUAAACCAAACGACUGAAGGAAAGUAUGUAUCCAGUCUUACAAACAGAACUUAAAGCUAACAUAUAGAAAUGAGCAAACAUUCACAUGAAGAAAAUUAAACUAAUUACAGAACCAAAUGAUUGCAGAAAUAGCAUCUAAUAAACAGAUAUUGUCAUUGAUUUUCGACUUAAUCAAACAGCUUCAAAUCCUUCCAUUUCAACAUGUCGAUGAGGUCUAGUGAGUACCUGGUUACAGCAACAAACAACAAGAAAAAUGAGCCUGAGAUUAGGAGAAAACAGCGGCAACGUAUCAGUACUACCAACACAGCCAAAUAAUAGCAACACUCAGUCCUUCCAAGCCAUUUUGAACCCAAAAUGAACCAGAAAUUCUUGAAAGGUUUCAAACUUAUGAAGAUAAAUAGCAAACUAAGCUAAUUUCUACCAAAAAUGCAAGAGAUUUGCAGUGUUUUGAACUCAGUCGUUUUUAAGAUUUUUAGUAUCUCCCCCCACUAAUUCUCUGAAAACAACCAUAUAUAGAUAAACUUUUAGGGCAGCAGAAAUGAUUUCCAGCUUUACCAAUUAACCCUUCCCAAUUUUCACUCUUUCAAGUUAAAACCCCAAAUUUUAAACCUAUUUGUUAACAGACCCAAGCCCGUCUUUCCUGAAACUUUCCCCAUUCAGUUUUUAAAGAUUCUUUUAAUUAAGAUCCCCCGAAUACCCUUGCACCCCUUAUUAUUUACCCUCAUGAACUAACCUGGGUCAAGUUGACCCAACAAUCAACCCAAAACCUGGGCUUGCAAACCCGGAUUGACCCCCUCCCCCCUCUUUGGGCCUUUAAACCUACAAAAACCCAAAGUUUUGAUUCCAAAAACCAACAGAAAGUCAAUCCAUAAAUUGGGCCAACAGAGUUCUAAGAACUUCUGAAGCCAGUAAUCCAAAGAAAACAAAAGGAAUAGAUGGAAAUUCAAGCCAAGUCAAACAACAAAAUCAAAUAAACUAAAAGAAACAUGCUGACUAAAAAUAACUUAACAUUAGCAUGCAUGCAGAAACAAAAGAAAACAAGAAAGAAAAGAAAGAAUCAGAGGGGACGAGGAUGAAAUUAAAGCAAAAUAGAAAAAUAAAUGGAGAUACCCGAUUAGGCAAACGGAUAGUGGGCUUGGGAUGGACCUCUGGUAUUUUCCGAUUUGAAGAAAAAAUGAGUGUUAGUUGGCUUGUUCUUGUUAGAACAAAUGUCUAGCACUCAUUUCUGGCCAAUAUCGUCUUAAAAGAUUGAAGAACAAUGAUCCCAGACCAUUUUCAUGAGGAAUCGAAGGCGGGAACGGAUCUAGGGUUCUGUUUUAAGAUCUAAAAUUAAAGAAAAAUUGAGGGGAUUUCGGGAAAACUGACGAUGGCUUAGUGUUUGAGGGAUUAUGGGGAGUGUGUGGUGAAGUUUUGGAGUUGAUUGGAGCUUCAAUCACCGGUGGAAAUGGCGAAAUUGGAAGGCAGCAUUUAGGGUUUAAACGAAGGAGAUGAGAGACUAAAGAGUCGAUUUCUAGGUUGAACUGAUAUGUUCGGACAGUUUUAAUCAAAAGAGGGGUAGUUCCCUGGCCGUUGGAUCAAGUCAAAUGGAAGGCCAGGAU